rnacentral:rRNA from 1 species
UCUUAGUGGCGGACGGGUGAGUAACGCGUGGGUAACCUGCCUUAUACAGGGGGAUAACACUUAGAAAUAGGUGCUAAUACCGCAUAAGCGCACGGGGCUGCAUGGCCCAGUGUGAAAAACUCCGGUGGUAUAAGAUGGACCCGCGUCUGAUUAGCUUGUUGGCGGGGUAACGGCCCACCAAGGCGACGAUCAGUAGCCGGCCUGAGAGGGUGGACGGCCACAUUGGGACCGAGACACGGCCCAAACUCCUACGGGAGGCAGCAG